AUUGAACGCUGGCGGCAGGCCUAACACAUGCAAGUCGAGCGGAUGAGGGGUGCUUGCACUCUGAUUCAGCGGCGGACGGGUGAGUAAUGCCUAGGAAUCUGCCCGAUAGUGGGGGACAACGUUUCGAAAGGAACGCUAAUACCGCAUACGUCCUACGGGAGAAAGUGGGGGAUCUUCGGACCUCACGCUAUCGGCUGAGCCUAGGUCGGAUUAGCUAGUUGUUGAGGUAAUGGCUCACCAAGGCUACGAUCCGUAACUGGUGUGAGAGGAUGACCAGUCAGACAGGAAAUGAGAAACGGUCCAGACUCCUACGGGAGGCAGCAGUGGGGAAUAUUGGACAAUGGUCGAAAGCCUGAUCCAGCCAUGCCGCGUGUGUGAAGAAGGUCUUCGGAUUGUAAAGCACUUUAAGUUGGGAGGAAGGGCUGUAGGCUAAUAUCCUGCAGUUUUGACGUUACCAACAGAAUAAGCACCGGCUAACUUCGUGCCAGCCGCCGCAGUAA
rnacentral:rRNA from 1 species